AGAAUCAACGCUGGCGGCGUGCCUAACACAUGCAAGUCGAACGAGAAAGUGGAGCAAUCCAUGAGUAAAGUGGCGACCGGGUGAGUAACACGUGACUAACCUACCUUCGAGUGGGGGAUAACCUCGGGAAACCGAGGCUAAUACCGCAUAACAUCGCAAGAUCAAAGCAGCAAUGCGCUGGAAGAGGGGGUCGCGGCUGAUUAGCUAGUUGGCGGGGUAAUGGCCCACCAAGGCGAAGAUCGGUAGCCGGCCUGAGAGGGCGCACGGCCACACUGGAACUGAAACACGGUCCAGACUCCUACGGGAGGCAGCAGUGGGGAAUUUUGCGCAAUGGGGAAACCCUGACGCAGCAACGCCGCGUGGAGGAUGAAGCCCCUUGGGGUGUAAACUCCUUUCGACCAAGACGAUAAUGACGGUACUGGUGGAAGAAGCACCGGCUAACUCUGUGCCAGCAGCCGC
rnacentral:rRNA from 1 species